rnacentral:rRNA from 1 species
UACGUACUGUACGAACGUUAUUCGGAAUUACUGGGCUUAAAGGGUUUGUAGGCGGCUUUGUAAGUCAGGUGUGAAAUCCCUCGGCUCAACCGAGGAAUGGCGCUUGAUACUGCAAGGCUUGAGGGAGACAGGGGUAAGCGGAACUGAUGGUGGAGCGGUGAAAUGCGUUGAUAUCAUCAGGAACACCGGUGGCGAAAGCGGCUUACUGGGUCUCUUCUGACGCUGAGGAACGAAAGCCAGGGGAGCAAACGGG